rnacentral:lncRNA from 1 species
AUCCGAUUAGACUGAUUACCUCAUCGUUGUUUAGAGUGGUGGGAAGACAGUGAACUUCAUUUCACUGGAUGACUGCAGGCACUGUGAUGGAAGGCUAAUCAAUUGAUAGAUUACGCAACUGAUACGAGUGCUGUGCUGGAGCCGUGAGUGACUCUGAGUGGGAUUACUGUGCCCUCAAUGGACUGAAUGAAUGAGAACUAAUGGCCACUGGGAUCGCUGACAUUGAUAUCUGUUUGUCAGAGAACCAGAAUGUCAGACAUCGCAAGCAGGCUUGUAGAGUCGGAUUUGUCUAGGAUUUCACAUUAUAGCAUUUGUUGUAAUACAUCAUUCUAGUCAACUGGACAUUUUUUUCUCUUUGUUUCUCCAUAGUUUAAGAGGUCUCUGCUCCAUCCAAGUGACAGUUGUGGAUUGAUGGUGAAGAUUCCUCUGCAUUUAACCUUGUUGGGCAACAUAGAAGCAGUGACACUCUAGAGGGGACGUCUGGAAGAAAGACCGCAGGCAGGAAGCCACAGCACCCAGAGAAUAGAGAUCAAAUGUGCCGGAGGUUAUUUCACAUCAGGAUCUGGACCUUGGAGUCUUUAGCCUUCCUGUGCAUUGGGGUGGUAAAUUACGGGGACAGAAACAUGCCUGAUGGUAUUCCGUGAAAAUUCCCAAUGAAACCCCAGGACAUGGAAUGGCAAUGCGAGCAUGUCUCUAAAGCUGUCAGCUCACAUCUGUGAUACAGGUGGGUUAAGAAUUAUGUAGAGUGUGUUUCAUCAUUUAAUCACUCCUGAUGGUUUAUAUUAGUUUAUACCGAGUCUUCUUAUUAAACCUGACACACUGUCAGAUUUCAGACUUCCUCUGUUGUCCCCCCUGCCGUAUAGCUUGAUAUAUUUCUACCUCAGGUCAUCGUUCCUUCACGUGGUCAUUUGUGUUUGCAUUGAC